rnacentral:rRNA from 1 species
UGUGACUGGUGCGAAGUCGUAACAAGGUAGUGGUAGGUGAACCUGCAGAAGGAUCA